UGGUACCAUUGAAAAGGACAGGCAGUUGCAGCGGGGCAAUGGAUAAAUGUACAAAAAGGGAGCUUGUCUAUGUCCUUGUCCGUGAAAUAUUGGUUUCUUGUCGACCUUGUGAAUUACAUAAAAGUAGGAUACUCCGAAGUCGGGGGUCUAAGAAAUAUUUAGAACUGGGUGGCCAUUGACCGGCUAGAAAAAGGCUCCGGCUCGCUCAUUGGAAGUGGAAAUGGAAGCGAUUGAUUUUGGGCGAACAUAUUUUCUGAGAAAGAGAGGAAUGGAAAUUGAUUAAUUCAAGUUCUUUAAGAGCCUGUUUGGGAGUGAUUUUGAGAAUUGAUUUUUUGAUCGUUAGGAGAAAAGUGGGGUUCACUUGUGAGAGAAGAAUUCAAAUAUGACGGUUGGAAUAGUAAAAUAAUAGUCAAAAAAUCAAUUUUUUGGGAAAAAAAAUCGCUCCCAAACAAGAUGUAAACUUGUUGAUGAUUGAACUUAAUAUGAACCGGGAAGAGUAUAUAAAUGAAGUUGGAAUUCAUUAAGUGCUCGAUUAACAAAUCUCUUACAGGAGGAGUGCAUAAUACCUGUUGACUUUUUUCUUUUCAUAUUUUCCACAUGAAACUAAUAGAAGAGAGAUUUUUUUGCUUUGACAUAUUGUUGUAAUGACAGUGAACGAGUAAAUGAGGGAAGUUGACAUUAAGUCAAUCCUAUUUUUGGAAAUUUGUUUUUACUCAAAUUUGUUUUUAAUCAAAC
rnacentral:lncRNA from 1 species